UUUGAUCAUGGCUCAGGAUGAACGCUAGCGACAGGCUUAACACNUGCAAGUCGAGGGGCAGCGGGGAGCAAGCUUGCUUGCUCUGCCGGCGACCGGCGCACGGGUGAGUAACACGUAUGCAACCUGCCCUCCGCAGGGGGAUAACCCGGAGAAAUCCGGACUAAUACCGCGUGGUGCACCUGUGGGGCAUCCCACGGGUGUUAAAAGGAAGUGAUUCCGGCGGAGGAUGGGCAUGCGGCGCAUUAGCUUGUUGGCGGGGUAACGGCCCACCAAGGCGACGAUGCGUAGGGGUUCUGAGAGGAAGGUCCCCCACACUGGUACUGAGACACGGACCAGACUCCUACGGGAGGCAGCAGUGAGGAAUAUUGGUCAAUGGGCGGGAGCCUGAACCAGCCAAGUCGCGUGAGGGAAGACGGUCCUAUGGAUCGUAAACCUCUUUAGGCGGGGAGCAAUGCCGGGCACGCGUGCCCGGAGGGAGAGUACCCGCAGAAUAAGCAUCGGCUAACUCCGUGCCAGCAGCCGCGGUAAUACGGAGGAUGCGAGCGUUAUCCGGAUUUAUUGGGUUUAAAGGGUGCGUAGGCGGNAUUUUUAAGUUCAGCGGUAAAAAUGUCCGGGCNUCAACCCNGGGCCGGCCGUUGAAACUGGGGAUCUUGAGUGGGCGAGAAGUAUGCGGAAUGCGUGGUGUAGCGGUGAAAUGCAUAGAUAUCACGCAGAACUCCGAUUGCGAAGGCAGCAUACCGGCGCCCGACUGACGCUGAGGCACGAAAAGCGUGGGGAUCGAACAGGAUUUAGAUACCCUGGUAGUCCACGCAGUAAACGAUGAAUGCUAGUUGUCCGGUUUCUUUGGGGACUNGGGUUGACACAGCGAAAAGCGUUUAAGCAUUUCCACCUUNGGGGAAGUACGCCCGGCCAACCGNUGAAAACUUCAAAGGAAUUNGACNGGGGGGCCCNCCACAAGCGGAGGAACAUGUGGUUUAAUUCGAUGAUACGCGAGGAACCUUAUCCGGGCUCAAACGUCGGAGGACGUGCGGAGAAAUCCGCAUUUCCCUCGGGACUUCCGACGAGGUGCUGCAUGGUUGUCGUCAGCUCGUGCCGUGAGGUGUCGGCUUAAGUGCCAUAACGAGCGCAACCCCCAUCUACAGUUGCUAACAGGUGAAGCUGAGGACUCUGUGGAGACUGCCGGCGCAAGCUGAGAGGAAGGCGGGGAUGACGUCAAAUCAGCACGGCCCUUACGUCCGGGGCGACACACGUGUUACAAUGGCAGGUACAGCGGGAAGCCACUUGGCGACAAGGAGCGGAACCCGAAAACCUGUCUCAGUUCGGAUUGGAGUCUGCAACCCGACUCCAUGAAGCUGGAUUCGCUAGUAAUCGCGCAUCAGCCACGGCGCGGUGAAUACGUUCCCGGGCCUUGUACACACCGCCCGUCAAACCAUGGAAGCCGGGAGUGCCUGAAGUGCGUGAGCGCAAGCAGCGCCNUAGGGUAAAACCGGUGACUGGGGCUAAGUCGUAAACAAGGUAAC
rnacentral:rRNA from 1 species